GAAACCUAAAAAGAUUCAUCGGCGGUGGCUUUGAUGCUUUGCAUAUUUUUAAUCUGAGGACGAUUGAUCAUCUAUCUCCAAAUUAUGACAACGAGAUGCAUCCAGAGCUGGAAUAAUCAUGUAUAGAGGAUCAAAUAGAGCUACACAGAGAUAGUUGUCUUCUGAUUUGUUAGGGUUUAUUUUCAAGAUAGACACGAGGAGAUCAAUAUGAUGAAAUGGGUUAGUUUUUUAUUAUAAUUUUGAUUUGUUUGAAAAUACUGAUUCUUCUUUUUCUUCGUUUGUGUAGGUUUCAAAACAAUUGCAUGGGGAGAUUUGUUGUGUUUGGAAUGAAUUCAGGGAGAAGUGCAAUCACAACAGAAGUGCAAUGCAAUCAUAACAGAAGUGCAAUAGGGAG